AUCUAAGUUUGUUCUUUGUAGAUUGACUUCCGCUCCAGUGAACUUAAUGAAUAUGUUUUUCUUUCUAUAUAUAUACUUUAUGGAACUAACGUUUGAUGUGCAUCAAUCUUGUAGUAGAUUUCCUGUUCUUUUUCUUGGUUUCAAUCUUUGGCUAUAGGAGAUUGAAGGUUCUUUCAAAUGAGCGGAUGAAUGGAACUGAAUGUUUGACUGUUAAGAUUUCAUCUUCUACUUUUUUUCCUGUGAUUUUUUUAGUUUCUUGUAAUUAAUCAGUGGUCACAAUUUGCAGAUACCACUGGAGUCUUUGUCGUUCAAUGUCCCGUAAAAGAGGAAGACCUUUCUUUUCUAUGUGGGAUUCCUUUUCCUCCACCAGAUGCUAUACAAACUAUCUCAGUGGAUUACUCGAAGAUAGAAGAAAAUGUCGUUGAGAAGAAAGAUGUCAGUGAGACGAGGAGAGAGGAAAAUAUUACAGAGGGGAAAGAUGACGCUGACAUGAAGCAAAAACCAAAUCUUGGUGCCUUAAAGUAUGAAGACAAACUGGAGGCUUCAAAGAGGAAGCUAAGAGAAGGAUACAAUGAUGCAGAAGAAGCAAAGAAAAGGAGAAAGAUUAUGGUGGUUGACAUGAAUGACCUACAACCAGUACAAAGCCAGAGCAAAAAGAAGACUGAAGUAAAGCGUGGAUGCCGCAUUAACAAGUUUAUCAAACUGAGGCCUAAAAUUGAUCACCACUCUUUGAUUUGGUAGAUAAGUUGAGUUGUUUUAUUCAUUCCCAUACAG